UACGUAGGGGGCUAGCGUUGUCCGGAAUCAUUGGGCGUAAAGCGCGUGUAGGCGGCCCGGUAAGUCCGCUGUGAAAGUCGGGGGCUCAACCCUCGAAUGCCGGUGGAUACUGCCGGGCUCGAGUACGGGAGAGGCGAGUGGAAUUCCGUGGUGUAGCGGUGAAAUGCGCAGAUAUCAGGAGGAACACCAAUUGCGAAGGCAGCUCGCUGGAACGUUACUGACGCUGAGACGCGAAAGCGUGGGGAGCAAACAGG
rnacentral:rRNA from 1 species